rnacentral:rRNA from 1 species
AUGACCAUCCACCAUUUCCCAUGUCCGAGCCAUCGUCGUCGUCCAUUCUCCCCCCAUCCUCGUCGCAUGCCCCCAUCAUCCUCCCUAGAUAUCAUCCACCCCGUCCUCCACCAUUGUCACAGAUGUUUCCUCGGUGUCGUCCAUGGGGUUCCUGUCCUUGGCUCUGUCAUGGGAGACCUAGCAGUUGUGAGCCGGGAUCAUACAGGCUUCUUCCUUGGAGCAUCGGCACUAGUGUGCGAAAGUGUUACUGAUCCAGAGAUCCUAGAGGCAAUGGCAUGUUGCGAGGGGCUAUCUCUAGCUCUUGACUUAAACCUGCAACAAGUUCAGAUUAGCACCGAUUGUUCAGCAACAGUCAAGCAUAUCGGAGAGGCAUACUUGGGGCCCAACAAAGUUAUUAUGGACGAGAUCAAGAUGAAGAAGAAUAUGUUCCAAACCAUGGAGAUCAUACAUGAAAAAGCGAGUGUAAUGUUGAAGCGCAUGUGCUCGCAAAAGCUGCUACUUCUUUGCCCCGUGGACGCCAUCUUUGGCUCACAGGAACCCCCGAAAUUAUUUGUAUACCUAUGA